ACAAGUGCAGAAACCAGAUUCAGGAACCAGGAGGUGGCCAUUUCUUUCACCCCACCUACAGGGGCAAGAGGCAGGUAGGGUGGGUGCAUAAUCACCUGCUUUAUGCUCGGUAUUUGCUUUCUCAUGGAAAGGAAUUGAACUGUAAUUGUAAUUCUAUAUAUCUAUCCAACAGUGGUCUGACAGAGGCUUCAAUAGAGAUUAGCUCCAGUUAGACUGUCCAAGGCAAGGGGUCAAUUUGGGUCCUUUACAGGCACUUAAUGCAGGAUGAGGGGCU